CUACACUCGCUGAGAUAGGAAUGAGACGCGAAUAUACGUCCAGUCUUAGUGAAAGAAGGAAGCGAGAAGAGAGGUGACGAAGAGAUACAUCGGCGAGGUGGUAAAGACGGAAACUGGCGGAACUUCUGAACGAAAAGUUGUUUUCGAGGGGUUCAGAUCGAACACUGUGAAUUUCUAGCGUGACAAAAGACGAACGAUGGAAACAUUCGGAAAGAUCGUCAAGGACAUCUACUAUGAUCAAUUUAAAUGGUCGAUAGUGAAGAACAUUGCUUUCUUCGCCCUCGGCGUAAAAAUAGCCAUUGAGUGCAAUGGGAUGACCCUCAUGCAGCCAGUCCCCGUUUAAACUCGUCAUGAAAGUGUAGGAUCCAUAAAAGAACUGUCUGAAUACCCUGACAGUUCUCGCACUUCAUACACUGAUUACAAUUAUUGCAGGAAUACAUUCAAUUUUAUCUGUAUUAUACAAAGCUGUAUAUUUUGUAUUUUAAACACUCUUGUUAAAGAAUUGUUAAUUGAUAAAUGAUGUACAGUAUCU
rnacentral:lncRNA from 13 species